rnacentral:rRNA from 1 species
AUUGAACGCUGGCGGCAUGCCUUACACAUGCAAGUCGAACGCGAAAGGGGGCAACCCUGAGUAGAGUGGCGCACGGGUGAGCAAUACAUCGGAACAUACCCAGUAGUGGGGGACAACCAGUCGAAAGACUGGCUAAUACCGCAUACGACCUACGGGUGAAAGCGGGGGACCGUAAGGCCUCGCGCUAUUGGAUUGGCCGAUGUCUGAUUAGCUAGUUGGUGAGGUAACGGCUCACCAAGGCGACGAUCAGUAGCUGGUCUGAGAGGACGAUCAGCCACACUGGGACUGAGACACGGCCCAGAUUCCUACGGGAGGCAGCAGUGGGGAAUUUUGGACAAUGGGGGCAACCCUGAUCCAGCAAUGCCGCGUGAGUGAAGAAGGCCUUCGGGUUGUAAAGCUCUUUCGGCCGGGACGAAAUCGCUCUGGUGAAUAUCCAGGGUGGAUGACGGUACCGGAAUAAGAAGCACCGGCUAACUACGUGCCAGCAGCCGCAGUAA